AAGAACUGGCUCUCAGCUGUUAGUUCCUUGCAGUGCUAGGAUUGAAAUACGUGUUUUUUUGCUGGGUGUCUCCUGGCUACCAUGUUAGCUCCUAGAGGCUUCAUUGUGCCCGUGGCACCUACAUCCUAGGACUUCAAACCAGACUCUUUCCACAAAUGCCUUAAAAACAUAGGCUUGCAUAUGUGACUGUUUUAAAAUGCUUUUGAAGAAAGUUGCUAAAAAGUGAUAACAAGAACUGUAAUGCUCCACAGCUGAAGGCUGCCAUUUGGAGAACCGUGAUGAGGCUGCGAAGAGGCGGAGCCAGCUUCACCUUUUGACAGCAGUGGAAAUGUU